CUGCAGCCAAUAAUACCUACCAUGCUCUUCUUCCUGGGGGCCCAGUGUGCAAAGCUGUAAACAGCAGCCUCCUUGAUAGUGUCCUUGGCCUAUUGCUUGUCUGGGUUGUUCUAAGGACCUUGGAGACAGCC